UGACCUGAAACAGCUUAAAAACACAGUAGGUGACUGGUCAGUCCUGCCCUUGCCAUUGCUGCUUCACAGCAGAUGAACUUUUUAACAGCUGCAAGUUUGGGGUGUUCUCAAUUGUAUACAUUCAGCUGCGCUCUCAGACACAUGAAAUAAAGCUCACAGAGUGAUUAGGAACCUAAUUGUCCUAUGCAAGCAACUGAACAAGCAUCUGGAGAAAAUCCCUGCCAAAAUUCAGGUUAAUAACAUGGGCAACACUCCCGAAAAACCCAAUGAAAGAAGAUUUUCCUGCAUCUGCUAAGCAAUCAAGGCAACCCUUGUGAGAGAAACAAGGUUCUUCAUCAAGUACAAUCCUGCAGUUUUUUCCCUCUUGGAAAAUUUUCCAGGUGUCCUGCUGGAACAGAACUUGCGGACUACAGAACAGCACACAUGUAAUUACUCGUUGCGAAAGCUGAUCUUAGUAAAGAAAAAAUGGUUUCCUUUCUCAAUAUAGGAUGAAAUUUCAGGAGGAGGAAGAUGCUUAGAACCUACCACUACAACAACCUCUGAACACCUGAACGUCCCCCCACAAGAUAUGCAUGCCUUUCCCUACCACAGGAACCCAAGCAGCAGUGUUAAUAAUGAAGCCUGUUUAAUUUACAUCUCAGCCAAGAAAAAGACUUGUACUCAUUAGCACUGUGCAGACACAUCAGCUCGUUAACAACACAACAGUGCACAGCUGUUGG